rnacentral:rRNA from 1 species
UACAGAGGUCCCAAGCGUUGUUCGGAUUCACUGGGCGUAAAGGGUGUGUAGGAGGUUAGAUAAGUCGGAUGUGAAAUCCCACUGCUUAACGGUGGAAUGGCAUUCGAUACUGUUUGGCUAGAGGAUCGGAGGGGAGAGCGGAAUUCCAGGUGUAGCGGUGAAAUGCGUAGAUAUCUGGAGGAACACCGGUGGCGAAAGCGGCUCUCUGGAAGAUUCCUGACUCUGAAACACGAAAGCCAGGGGAGCAAACGGG